rnacentral:rRNA from 1 species
GGUAACUCUGGAGGCGGAAGUGGCGAAAGGGGCAGUAAUGCAUGGGUAACUUACCCUGGAGUCAGGCAUAGCCGUCCUAACGGACGGGUAAUUCUUGAUGGCCCAGCGUGGUGGCAUCAUCGUGCUGGUAAAGAAUUUCGCUCCUGGAGAGACCCAUGUCGUAUUAGCUAGUUGGUGAGGUAACGGCUCACCAAGGCAGAGAUGCGUAGCGGGUGUGAGAGCACGACCCGCGCCACUGGCACUGAGACACUGGCCAGACACCUACGGGUGGCUGCAGUCGAGGAUCUUCGUCAAUGGGCGAAAGCCUGAACGAGCGACGCCGCGUGCGCGAUGAAGGCCUUCGGGUUGUAAAGCGCGAAAGUGGGGACGAAGCCGAAAGGUUGACCGAUCCACAGUAAGCUCGGGCUAAGUUCGUGCCAGCAGCCGCGGUAAGACGAACCGAGCGAACGUU